rnacentral:sRNA from 1 species
GAUCCAGAAGCUGUUGCGGGACAAUCAGAGACAAAAGAAAAGCUCCGAGAUUUUGAAAUCGCUGGAAAAUGAAAGAAUAAGAAUGGAACAGUUGAUGUCCAUAACCCAGGAGGAGACUGAGAACCUGCGGCGACGUGAGGUUGCCUCCGCCAUGCAGCAGAUGCUGACUGAGAGCUGUAAGAACCGGCUCAUCCAGAUGGCCUACGAAUCUCAGAGGCAGAACUUGGUCCAGCAGGCCUGUUCCAGGUAAGCAUGGCCGAAAUGGAUGAACGAUUCCAGCAGAUUCUGUCGUGGCAGCAAAUGGAUCAGAACAAAGCCAUCAGCCAGAUCCUGCAGGAGAGCACGAUGCAGAAGGCUGCGUUCGAGGCACUCCAGGUGAAGAAAGACCUGAUGCAUCGGCAGAUCAGGAGCCAGAUUAAGCUAAUAGAAACUGAGUUAUUGCAGCUGACACAGCUGGAGUUAAAGAGGAAGUCCCUGGACACAGAGACACUCCAGGAGAUGAUCUCGGAGCAGCGCUGGGCCCUCAGCUCCCUGCUCCAGCAGCUGCUCAAAGAGAAGCAGCAGCGAGAGGAAGAGCUCCGGGAAAUCCUGGAAGAGGGGAUGGAGCGCCAGCUGGUGGCCCUCCUGGAGGAGCUGUCGGCUGAGCACUACCUGCCCAUCUUCGCGCACCACCGCCUCUCACUGGACCUGCUGAGCCAAAUGAGCCCCAGGGACCUGGCCAAGGUGGGUGUCUCAGAAGCUGGCCUGCAGCACGAGAUCCUCCGGAGAGUCCAGGAACUGCUGGAUGCAGCCAGGAUCCAGCCAGAGCUGAAACCACCAAUGGGUGAGGUCGUCACCCCUACGGCCCCCC